ACCUCGGGCAAAGAUGACGCUC
rnacentral:miRNA from 1 species